GUGCUUGCUUUGACAGAAUAUAUACUAAAAUUGGAUAGAUACAGAGAUUAGUAUGACCCCUGUGCAAGGAUGAAUACAAAUUUAUCAAACAUUCCAUAUUUUA